UACGUAGGGUGCGAGCGUUAUUCGGAAUUACUGGGCGUAAAGCGUGCGCAGGCGGUGCGUUAAGACCGAUGUGAAAUCCCCGAGCUUAACUUGGGAACUGCAUUGGUGACUGGCGCGCUCGAGUAUGGCAGAGGGGGGUGGAAUUCCACGUGUAGCAGUGAAAUGCGUAGAGAUGUGGAGGAACACCGAUGGCGAAGGCAGCCCCCUGGGCCAAUACUGACGCUCAUGCACGAAAGCGUGGGGAGCAAACAGG
rnacentral:rRNA from 1 species